UAUCCGUUGGGAUCCUUAGCUUGGUCUGCUAUCUAUCACCCAUCGGCUGCUAGAGUACCUUACGUUUCCUCGGCGGGUCCGCCCGCCGAUUGGACAAUUUAAACCAUUUGCAGUUGCAAUCAGCGUCUGAAAAAACUUAAUAGUUACAACUUUCAACAACGGAUCUCUUGGUUCUGGCAUCGAUGAAGAACGCAGCGAAAUGCGAUAAGUAGUGUGAAUUGCAGAAUUCAGUGAAUCAUCGAAUCUUUGAACGCACAUUGCGCCCCUUGGUAUUCCAUGGGGCAUGCCUGUUCGAGCGUCAUUUGUACCUUCAAGCUCUGCUUGGUGUUGGGUGUUUGUCUCGCCUCUGCGUGUAGACUCGCCUCAAAACAAUUGGCAGCCGGCGUAUUGAUUUCGGAGCGCAGUACAUCUCGCGCUUUGCACUCAUAACGACGACGUCCAAAAGUACAUUUUUACACUCUUGACCUCGGAUCAGGUAGGGAUACCCGCUGAACUUAAGCAUAUCAAUAAGCGGAGGAAAA
rnacentral:rRNA from 1 species